rnacentral:rRNA from 1 species
CCUACGGGUGGCAGCAGUGGGGAAUAUUGGGCAAUGGGCGCAAGCCUGACCCAGCAACGCCGCGUGAAGGAAGAAGGCUUUCGGGUUGUAAACUUCUUUUCUCAGGGACGAAGCAAGUGACGGUACCUGCUGAAUAAGCCACGGCUAACUACGUGCCAGCAGCCGCGGUAAUCCGUAGGUGGCAAGCGUUCUCCGGAUUUACUGGGUGUAAAGGGCGUGUAGGCGGGGACGCAAGUCAGCUGUGAAAACCACGGGCUCAACCUGUGGCGUGCAUUUGAAACUGUGUUUCUUGAGUACUGGAGAGGCAGACGGAAUUCCGAGUGUAGCGGUGAAAUGCGUAGAUAUUAGGAGGAACACCAGUGGCGAAGGCGGCCUGCUGGACGGCAACUGACGCUGAGGCGCGAAAGCGUGGGGAGCAAACAGGAUUAGAUACCCCAGUAGUC